AGCGAAUAGAUACCCGGGUAGUCCACGCUGUAAACGAUGAGCACUAGGUGUCGUGGGUAUUGACCCCCGCGGUGCCGACGCUAAACGCAUUAAGUGCUCCGCCUGGGGACUACGGCCGCAAGGUUAAAACCCAAAGGAAUUGACGGGGGCCCGCACAAGCGGUGGAGCAUGUGGUUCAAAUUCGAUGCAACGCGAAGAACCUUACCUGGGCUAGACAACGGAGGACCGCUCCAGAGAUGGGGCUUUCCCUUCGGGGACCUCCGGUUCAGGUGCUGCAUGGCUGUCGUCAGCUCGUGUCGUGAGAUGUUGGGUUAAGUCCCGCAACGAGCGCAA
rnacentral:rRNA from 1 species